GAGGGUGGAAAGCUUGCUUCUUUUCCGUACACACAUAUGUCCCCGCAUCGCUACCGCAAAAGGUAAGUGUGUGUUUAACGAAAAGACAGUGACAGCAAUCAAAGAAGAGACCGAUUCAGAUGAAGAUGAGGAUAA
ensembl:ncRNA W04D2.13 ncRNA